rnacentral:rRNA from 1 species
CAGCACCUCAAGUGGUCAGGAUGAUUAUUGGGCCUAAAGCAUCCGUAGCCGGCGCUGUAAGUUUUCGGUUAAAUCUGUACGCUCAACGUACAGGCUGCCGGGAAUACUGCAGCGCUAGGGAGUGGGAGAGGUAGACGGUACUCGGUAGGAAGGGGUAAAAUCCUUUGAUCUAUUGAUGACCACCUGUGGCGAAGGCGGUCUACCAGAACACGUCCGACGGUGAGGGAUGAAAACUGGGGGAGCAAACCGGAUUAGAGACCCCAGUAGUCC